CCAAUAGCGUAUAUUAAAGUUGUUGCAGUUAAAAAGCUCGUAGUUGAAUUUCGGGAUCAAUAUGUCGGUCGUGCCUUCGGUACGUACUGGCGUWAUUGGUUUCUCCCUUCUGAAGAACCGCGAUGUCAUUAAUUUGGUGUCGUGGGGAAUCAGGACUGUUACUUUGAAAAAAUUAGAGUGUUUAAAGCAGGCUCGCGCUUGAAUACAUUAGCAUGGAAUAAUGAAAUAGGACGUUUGAUUCUAUUUUGUUGGUUUCUAGGAUCGACGUAAUGAUUAAUAGGGAUAGUUGGGGGCAUUAGUAUUCAAUUGUCAGAGGUGAAAUUCUUGGAUUUAUUGAAGACUAACUACUGCGAAAGCAUUUGCCAAGGAUGUUUUCAUUAAUCAAGAACGAAAGUUAGGGGAUCGAAGACGAUCAGAUACCGUCGUAGUCUUAACCAUAAACUAUGCCGACGACUAGGGAUUCGGUAAUGAUUGUUAGUWUUUWAAUDACUCAUGUUCGGCGUACGGUAA
rnacentral:rRNA from 1 species